GAUGAACGCUGGCGGCGUGCCUAAUACAUGCGAGUCGAGCGAACGGACGAGAAGCUUGCUUCUCUGAUGUUAGCGGCGGACGGGUGAGUAACACGUGGAUAACCUACCUAUAAGACUGGGAUAACUUCGGGAAACCGGAGCUAAUACCGGAUAAUAUUUUGAACCGCAUGGUUCAAAAGUGAAAGACGGUCUUGCUGUCACUUAUAGAUGGAUCCGCGCUGCAUUAGCUAGUUGGUAAGGUAACGGCUUACCAAGGCAACGAUGCAUAGCCGACCUGAGAGGGGGAUCGGCCACACUGGAACUGCGACACGGUCCAGACUCCUACGGGAGGCAGCAGUCGGCAAUCUUCCGCAAUGGGCGAAAGCCUGACGGAGCAACGCCGCGUGAGUGAUGAAGGUCUUCGGAUCGUAAAACUCUGUUAUUAGGGAAGAACAUAUGUGUAAGUAACUGUGCACAUCUUGACGGUACCUAAUCAGAAAGCCCCGGCUAACUACGUG
rnacentral:rRNA from 1 species